rnacentral:tRNA from 1 species
GGAGUUGUGGCUCAGCAGUAGAGUGCUCGCCUAGCAGGUGUGAGGCCCUGGGUUCAAUCCUCAGCACCA